rnacentral:lncRNA from 1 species
UUAUAUUAAUUUUUUUUCUAUUGAAAAGUGAAUACAAAGAAAGAAAAAUAAAUAAAUAUAUUCAUAGAAGCUCUAAAAAUGAAGUGAAAGGAAAAAAAAAGAUUGAACAACAAUUAAAAAAAUUUCAACGAUAGUUCUUCAACCAAAAUUAUCUUUUAUUCUUCUUCUUGUAGACUUCCAUCUUCUCAUAUACUUCUGGGCAUUUAUGAUCAUUGAUCAGUCAUUUUCCCGAAGAAUACAUUUACACCUGACCAAAAUUAGUUUCCUCCUCCAACACCUCACGCUUCUGCUGAAAUCAAUGUCAGAUUACAUAAUCAAACCAUCAGAACCCUUUCUCUCGACAUAUGUUUCCAGUAUAAUCUGUAAUAGUUAGAAAACCAGAAGAUAAUGAACUUUAACAAAUAAGAUCUUUAAGUCAUACACAAAAGACAAGAAACUGUAAUUUUAGAAAAGAAUAAGAAACAGAAGAUUCGUUGGAUUAGCAAACCUUAGUUAGUUGGAUUAAACAAAGAAGAAGAAGAAGAAAUAAUAAUACCUUUUUAGAAUUUUUCCAUCAAGUUCGUUGAAUUAGCAAACCUUAGUUUUCUUUCAAAUCAUGCAAACGAAGAAACAUAAUCAUCCUCUCAUAUAAGGGAAAAUUCUUCAUGCCACCAAUGGCUUGCUAAUGGGACGUCAUCCACUCAUCCUUACUCAUUGAGAAAAAAAAGUUUGAUUGUUUGUAGAAUAUUUGUAUCUAAUAACAAUAUAACUGUAAAAGAAGUUUAAGCACGAGAGAGACGAAAUGGGUAUAGAAAAAAGAAUAUGCUUUUGGAUAAGAAAAAACUGUUAAGAAUAAAGUACAACUAAAUUAGAGCCACA